AAUUUAUAAGGAAAGAAAUAUUUUUGAUUUUUUAGUAGGCUUGGAAUUGGCCAUAAGAUAGUGUUAUAAGAUAAAAGGUUAGAAGUAGGAUUUAUUAUUCUUUUGGGGUUAUAAAGUUAAUUAUAAAAUUAUAUGAUUAUUGAAAAUAUGAUAGCAUAAGUAGAAAAAAAAUGGAAUUUUUUUUUGUAUUAAAUAGUUAAUAAAAGUUAUAGUAAAAGAACUCGGCAAAUAGGAUUUCCGAAUGUUUAACAAAAACAUUUCUUCUUACAGAAGGGAAGUAAGACCUGCUCACUGAGUAUUUAAAGAGCCGCAGUAUUUUGACUGUGCUAAGGUAGCAUAAUCAUUAGUCUUUUAAUUGGGGACUGGUAUGAAUGGUUUAACGAGAAAUCAACUUUUUUUAUUAUAAGAAUUGAAUUUAAUUUUUUAGUGAGAAAGCUAAAAUUAUUCAGAAAGACGAGAAGACCCUAUAGAGUUUUAUAUUUAAAAGAAAUUUUUUCGUUUAGGUUUUUUAGGAAGAAUUUUUUUUUUGGUAUUUAGUUGGGGCGACGUUUAGAUAAGGAAAACCCUUUAUUAAUAAAACUUUAAUAAAAGUAUAGUAUGAUCCUAUAAUAAAGAUUAAAAGAAAAAAUUAC
rnacentral:rRNA from 1 species